rnacentral:rRNA from 1 species
GACGAACGCUGGCGGCGUGCUUAACACAUGCAAGUCGAACGGAAAGGCCCUGCUUUUGUGGGGUGCUCGAGUGGCGAACGGGUGAGUAACACGUGAGUAACCUGCCCUUGACUUUGGGAUAACUUCAGGAAACUGGGGCUAAUGCCGGAUAGGAGCUCCUGCUGCAUGGUGGGGGUUGGAAAGUUUCGGCGGUUGGGGAUGGACUCGCGGCUUAUCAGCUUGUUGGUGGGGUAGUGGCUUACCAAGGCUUUGACGGGUAGCCGGCCUGAGAGGGUGACCGGCCACAUGGGGACUGAGAUACGGCCCAGACUCCUACGGGAGGCAGCAGUGGGGAAUAUUGCACAAUGGGCGGAAGCCUGAUGCAGCAACGCCGCGUGCGGGAUGACGGCCUUCGGGUUGUAAACCGCUUUCGCCUGUGACGAAGCGUGAGUGACGGUAAUGGGUAAAGAAGCACCGGCUAACUACGUG